UGGUAUCAUCCUCAUCAAGUUGGCUGAAACUCUCAUAUACACCAUAGCUAGGGUUUUUCCAAGCUUUCAAGCUCAAUAAUCAAGAAAGGCGUGGAAUCGACCUCGAACGGGGGAAGGAAAAGGUUUUGGACUAAAUUGCAAAAUUUCCAUAUUUUGCACCGAGUGUCAUCCAGCUUGCACAGGAGUCAAGGAUCGUUGAAGAUCUGCCUGCACUAUUAAUAUUUUUGGCUAUUCGAACUAAAUAUUUUGAAUUAUGGCAUGUAUAGUAGACUUAGUUAUUUUGUUACGUGUCAUAAUUGUCUAGGUUUUACAAUAUUAAGUAUAGUAUUUGACCGAUUAUAUUGUACGAAGCUUUUGAAAUUGGCUAAUAUUAUUAAAGGCAUAUGUUAUAAUGAUUUAUGAUCUAAUUGUAUGCCA